CGUGCCAGGCUAGAGUUCGGUCGUCAUCCCCGGCGGGUGCGGGAAUCCGGUGCAAUUCCGGAACGGUCGCGCCACUGUGAUCGCCUCGCGGCGAAAGUCAGACCUCCCUCGCCGGGCACCCUCUGAAAGG
rnacentral:ncRNA from 2 species